rnacentral:rRNA from 1 species
CUUGACGACCAUAGAGCGUUGGAACCACCUGAUCCCAUCCCGAACUCAGAAGUGAAACGAUGCAUCGCCGAUGGUAGUGUGGGGUUUCCCCAUG